GCGGCCCUUGGGGCAAAAGAUGGCCUCUGCUUGCAUGCUAUCACUCCGGGAUGGGCCUGCGCGCCAUUAGCUAGUUGGUGAGGUAACGGCUCACCAAGGCAGAGAUGGCUAGCUGGUCUGAGAGGAUGGCCAGCCACACUGGGACUGAGACACGGCCCAGACUCCUACGGGAGGCAGCAGUGGGGAAUAUUGCGCAAUGGGCGAAAGCCUGACGCAGCGACGCCGCGUGGGUGAUGAAGGCCUUCGGGUCGUAAAGCCCUGUCAAGAGGGACGAAACCUCGUCGACCUAACACGUCGGCGACCUGACGGUACCUCUGAAGGAAGCACCGGCUAACUCCGUGCCAGCCGCCGCAGUAAUAC
rnacentral:rRNA from 1 species